UAUUUGAUUUGAUGACUAUAAGCGAAAAAAAGACUGCUCAAAUUGAACAGCCAGUAAAAAAUCGAUCUUUUCAAAAACAGAAAUUACAAUAAAUAAAAAUCGUCCACUCUGUUUCUUCCCAACGUUCCAAGAAUGCAUGCUGCGUUUCCCCUUUGAAUAGCAAUUGAAAUUCUUUGCAACAAGUAGUCUGUUGAACGCUUUUCCCCUGAUGCUUUUUUCAUCAAUGAUCCUAAUUUCAUGACAAAUUUCUUU